AACGAACGCUGGCGGCAGGCUUAACACAUGCAAGUCGAGCGCCCCGCAAGGGGAGCGGCAGACGGGUGAGUAACGCGUGGGAAUCUACCCAUCCCUACGGAAUAGCUCCGGGAAACUGGAAUUAAUACCGUAUACGCCCUACGGGGGAAAGAUUUAUCGGGGAUUGGAUGAGCCCGCGUUGGAUUAGCUAGUUGGUGGGGUAAAGGCCUACCAAGGCGACGAACCAUAGCUGGUAUGAGAGGAUGAUCAGCCACAUUGGGACUGAGACACGGCCCGAACUCCUACGGUAGGCAGCAGUGGGGAAUAUUGGACAAUGGGGCAACCCUGAUCCAGCCAUGCCGCGUGAGUGAUGAAGGCCUUAGGGUUGUAAAGCUCUUUCACCGGGGAAGAUAAUGACGGUACCCGGAGAAGAAGCCCCGGCUAACUUCGUGCCAGCCGCCGCAGUAA
rnacentral:rRNA from 1 species